UUAAGCGACUAAGCGUACACGGUGGAUGCCCUGGCAGUCAGAGGCGAUGAAGGACGUGCUAAUCUGCGAUAAGCGUCGGUAAGGUGAUAUGAACCGUUAUAACCGGCGAUUUCCGAAUGGGGAAACCCAGUGUGAUUCGUCACACUAUCAUUAACUGAAUCCAUAGGUUAAUGAGGCGAACCGGGGGAACUGAAACAUCUAAGUACCCCGAGGAAAAGAAAUCAACCGAGAUUCCCCCAGUAGCGGCGAGCGAACGGGGAGCAGCCCAGAGCCUGAAUCAGUGUGUGUGUUAGUGGAAGCGUCUGGAAAGGCGCGCGAUACAGGGUGACAGCCCCGUACACAAAAAUGCACAUACUGUGAGCUCGAUGAGUAGGGCGGGACACGUGGUAUCCUGUCUGAAUAUGGGGGGACCAUCCUCCAAGGCUAAAUACUCCUGACUGACCGAUAGUGAACCAGUACCGUGAGGGAAAGGCGAAAAGAACCCCGGCGAGGGGAGUGAAAAAGAACCUGAAACCGUGUACGUACAAGCAGUGGGAGCACAGAGCAAGCUGUGUGACUGCGUACCUUUUGUAUAAUGGGUCAGCGACUUAUAUUCUGUAGCAAGGUUAACCGAAUAGGGGAGCCGAAGGGAAACCGAGUCUUAACUGGGCGUUAAGUUGCAGGGUAUAGACCCGAAACCCGGUGAUCUAGCCAUGGGCAGGUUGAAGGUUGGGUAACACUAACUGGAGGACCGAACCGACUAAUGUUGAAAAAUUAGCGGAUGACUUGUGGCUGGGGGUGAAAGGCCAAUCAAACCGGGAGAUAGCUGGUUCUCCCCGAAAGCUAUUUAGGUAGCGCCUCGUGAAUUCAUCUCCGGGGGUAGAGCACUGUUUCGGCAAGGGGGUCAUCCCGACUUACCAACCCGAUGCAAACUGCGAAUACCGGAGAAUGUUAUCACGGGAGACACACGGCGGGUGCUAACGUCCGUCGUGAAGAGGGAAACAACCCAGACCGCCAGCUAAGGUCCCAAAGUCAUGGUUAAGUGGGAAACGAUGUGGGAAGGCCCAGACAGCCAGGAUGUUGGCUUAGAAGCAGCCAUCAUUUAAAGAAAGCGUAAUAGCUCACUGGUCGAGUCGGCCUGCGCGGAAGAUGUAACGGGGCUAAACCAUGCACCGAAGCUGCGGCAGCGACGCUUAUGCGUUGUUGGGUAGGGGAGCGUUCUGUAAGCCUGUGAAGGUGUGCUGUGAGGCAUGCUGGAGGUAUCAGAAGUGCGAAUGCUGACAUAAGUAACGAUAAAGCGGGUGAAAAGCCCGCUCGCCGGAAGACCAAGGGUUCCUGUCCAACGUUAAUCGGGGCAGGGUGAGUCGACCCCUAAGGCGAGGCCGAAAGGCGUAGUCGAUGGGAAACAGGUUAAUAUUCCUGUACUUGGUGUUACUGCGAAGGGGGGACGGAGAAGGCUAUGUUGGCCGGGCGACGGUUGUCCCGGUUUAAGCGUGUAGGCUGGUUUUCCAGGCAAAUCCGGAAAAUCAAGGCUGAGGCGUGAUGACGAGGCACUACGGUGCUGAAGCAACAAAUGCCCUGCUUCCAGGAAAAGCCUCUAAGCAUCAGGUAACAUCAAAUCGUACCCCAAACCGACACAGGUGGUCAGGUAGAGAAUACCAAGGCGCUUGAGAGAACUCGGGUGAAGGAACUAGGCAAAAUGGUGCCGUAACUUCGGGAGAAGGCACGCUGAUAUGUAGGUGAAGCGACUUGCUCGUGGAGCUGAAAUCAGUCGAAGAUACCAGCUGGCUGCAACUGUUUAUUAAAAACACAGCACUGUGCAAACACGAAAGUGGACGUAUACGGUGUGACGCCUGCCCGGUGCCGGAAGGUUAAUUGAUGGGGUCAGCGCAAGCGAAGCUCUUGAUCGAAGCCCCGGUAAACGGCGGCCGUAACUAUAACGGUCCUAAGGUAGCGAAAUUCCUUGUCGGGUAAGUUCCGACCUGCACGAAUGGCGUAAUGAUGGCCAGGCUGUCUCCACCCGAGACUCAGUGAAAUUGAACUCGCUGUGAAGAUGCAGUGUACCCGCGGCAAGACGGAAAGACCCCGUGAACCUUUACUAUAGCUUGACACUGAACAUUGAGCCUUGAUGUGUAGGAUAGGUGGGAGGCUUAGAAGUGUGGACGCCAGUCUGCAUGGAGCCGACCUUGAAAUACCACCCUUUAAUGUUUGAUGUUCUAACGUGGACCCGUAAUCCGGGUUGCGGACAGUGUCUGGUGGGUAGUUUGACUGGGGCGGUCUCCUCCUAAAGAGUAACGGAGGAGCACGAAGGUUGGCUAAUCCUGGUCGGACAUCAGGAGGUUAGUGCAAUGGCAUAAGCCAGCUUGACUGCGAGCGUGACGGCGCGAGCAGGUGCGAAAGCAGGUCAUAGUGAUCCGGUGGUUCUGAAUGGAAGGGCCAUCGCUCAACGGAUAAAAGGUACUCCGGGGAUAACAGGCUGAUACCGCCCAAGAGUUCAUAUCGACGGCGGUGUUUGGCACCUCGAUGUCGGCUCAUCACAUCCUGGGGCUGAAGUAGGUCCCAAGGGUAUGGCUGUUCGCCAUUUAAAGUGGUACGCGAGCUGGGUUUAGAACGUCGUGAGACAGUUCGGUCCCUAUCUGCCGUGGGCGCUGGAGAACUGAGGGGGGCUGCUCCUAGUACGAGAGGACCGGAGUGGACGCAUCACUGGUGUUCGGGUUGUCAUGCCAAUGGCACUGCCCGGUAGCUAAAUGCGGAAGAGAUAAGUGCUGAAAGCAUCUAAGCACGAAACUUGCCCCGAGAUGAGUUCUCCCUGACUCCUUGAGAGUCCUGAAGGAACGUUGAAGACGACGACGUUGAUAGGCCGGGUGUGUAAGCGCAGCGAUGCGUUGAGCUAACCGGUACUAAUGAACCGUGAGGCUUAACCUU
rnacentral:rRNA from 1 species